rnacentral:rRNA from 1 species
UACGUAGGGGGCUAGCGUUGUCCGGAAUUAUUGGGCGUAAAGAGCGUGUAGGCGGUCCGGUAAGUCGGCUGUGAAAGUCCAGGGCUCAACCCUGGGAUGCCGGUCGAUACUGCCGGACUAGAGUUCGGAAGAGGCGAGUGGAAUUCCCGGUGUAGCGGUGAAAUGCGUAGAUAUCUGGAGGAAUACCGGUGGCGAAGGCGGCAUCCUGGACCGACAUUGACGCUGAACGGCGAAAGCUAGGGGAGCAAACGGG